rnacentral:tRNA from 1 species
UCUGUAGCUCAGUCGGAUAGAGCAACGGCCUUCUAAGCCGUGGGUCGGGGGUUCGAAUCCCUUCAGG